GACCAUCACGCCAUUAAAUAAACUAGUAAAUGUAACCCGUAGUCACUAUUUACGUUUUUUUCCCUAGAACAGACAUGGAAAAGAUGAAAAGAUGGUUCUACAAAUAUCUGCAGCAGAUAUUCUUUAAUGUAGAAAGAAAGGAUGUCCAUGGACAUAUAUUCCUCUUAUACUCAUGCUUCCAGGCUGAAAUGGUCUGAAAUCUUUAAAGAGAAAACAAUAUCUUAUGGAUACUAUGUUGAUUUAUACAGGCAGCAGUAUGCCAUUGCCUACAGAUUAUAAAAUGUAGUCUUGUGGCAAAACAAUACCUAUGUUAACAUUAAUGGCAAGAUUAUUCUUGACUUCAAUGAGGGAAGUAUUUCAAGUCUUUCUUUUAGUGUUUAAAACUCACAAAGUGUAGUUGCAUCUAAGGAACCUUAAAACAAGGCAGAUAUUAGUGUUUCUUUAAGAAGAGACACUUUUUCUUUUCCGUAUGUUUGUAAACUUCCUGGCUAUUAUUUUAUAUCCAGAAUAAUAUAUAUGAUAAUAUAUAUAAU